rnacentral:rRNA from 1 species
ACAGAGGGUGCAAGCGUUAUUCGGAAUCACUGGGCAUAAAGGGCGCGUAGGCGGCCUAAUAAGUCUAUUGUGAAAGCCCACGACUUAAUCGUGGAAGUGCAGUAGAUACUGUUAGGCUAGAGUAUAGGAGAGGAGAACGGAAUUCCUGGUGUAGAGGUGAAAUUCGUAGAUAUCAGGAGGAACAACGGUGGCGAAGGCGGUUCUCUGGACUAUAACUGACGCUGAGUGCGCGAAAGCGUGGGGAGCAAACAG